GGGUUGUGAGGUUAAGCGACUAAGCGUACACGGUGGAUGCCCUGGCAGUCAGAGGCGAUGAAGGACGUGCUAAUCUGCGAUAAGCGUCGGUGAGGUGAUAUGAACCGUUAUAACCGGCGAUUUCCGAAUGGGGAAACCCAGUGUGUUUCGACACACUAUCAUUAACUGAAUCCAUAGGUUAAUGAGGCGAACCGGGGGAACUGAAACAUCUAAGUACCCCGAGGAAAAGAAAUCAACCGAGAUUCCCCCAGUAGCGGCGAGCGAACGGGGAGGAGCCCAGAGCCUGAAUCAGUGUGUGUGUUAGUGGAAGCGUCUGGAAAGGCGUGCGAUACAGGGUGACAGCCCCGUACACAAAAAUGCACAUAUUGUGAGCUCGAUGAGUAGGGCGGGACACGUGGUAUCCUGUCUGAAUAUGGGGGGACCAUCCUCCAAGGCUAAAUACUCCUGACUGACCGAUAGUGAACCAGUACCGUGAGGGAAAGGCGAAAAGAACCCCGGCGAGGGGAGUGAAAAAGAACCUGAAACCGUGUACGUACAAGCAGUGGGAGCCUCUUAAUGGGGUGACUGCGUACCUUUUGUAUAAUGGGUCAGCGACUUAUAUUCUGUAGCAAGGUUAACCGAAUAGGGGAGCCGAAGGGAAACCGAGUCUUAACUGGGCGUUAAGUUGCAGGGUAUAGACCCGAAACCCGGUGAUCUAGCCAUGGGCAGGUUGAAGGUUGGGUAACACUAACUGGAGGACCGAACCGACUAAUGUUGAAAAAUUAGCGGAUGACUUGUGGCUGGGGGUGAAAGGCCAAUCAAACCGGGAGAUAGCUGGUUCUCCCCGAAAGCUAUUUAGGUAGCGCCUCGUGAAUUCAUCUCCGGGGGUAGAGCACUGUUUCGGCAAGGGGGUCAUCCCGACUUACCAACCCGAUGCAAACUGCGAAUACCGGAGAAUGUUAUCACGGGAGACACACGGCGGGUGCUAACGUCCGUCGUGAAGAGGGAAACAACCCAGACCGC
rnacentral:rRNA from 1 species